CUGAUUUUAGGGUUCUUGAGCUAUGGAGCGACGAUGCUUCACAGGCGCUGGACUUCUUCCGGAUUUUGGACACGCAAUGGCUCCUGGCACUGAGGAAUUUGUCAAUGGAGGAUCUUCUUCUCCUUCCAUCGCAUAUGAGAGUCCCUUCGGUCCUUUGUUUCUCGUGCAUUGACGGCGGGGAUGGAAGGCCUUAGGAUUGCUGGCCCAAGACGCUCCAGGAUUUGCUCUCUCGAGAGGUGAAGGAGACCUCAAAGGAAGUGUUUUAACGCAUGGCGUGAACGCCAGGAAACCAUGAGAUUCUUUCCAGAUUGAAGGACUUUCUUCGUUGGUGGUAAACGCGUCGAACGAUACUAGCCAUUCUUGUCAACCGUUUCAAAGCAUCGUGCCACACAAAACCGCAACCUUUCUCGGCGACGAGGACGUGUAGCUGGAUGCAUUCUUGUCGUCCAUUAGAAUUCGCGAGCAACGUAAGCCAUGACUGCAUGCCUGUGGAGAUCUCUUGGCGAACAUGUUGAGGUGAGGAGCGUAAGUUCUUGAAACACUGGGGCAGGACCUCUGUAAAUCGCCAGGACGUCACGGCGGUGAUCUCUGUUUGGUGUUGCUAGAAUUUGUUAUCCGAGAACGACGACGGUGCGAGCAAGUGUGGCUUCCCUUUGAGCAGAGGCAUGAAGAGAUUGAACUUGCGUCUCGGUGGAGCUGGACGUGAUCUUGUGAUACAAUCUCAAUGCCGUUAUUUUGUUCCUUCGUUCCUUUGUGCCGAUCCCCGAGGAAGUGGAAUUUUUUAAAAAUGCUUGGCUUCUUUUGAUUCU